rnacentral:lncRNA from 1 species
UCCUUACAUUUAUAGGGUUUCUCCCCUGUGUGCAUUCUCUGAUGUACUGUGAGGUGUGACUUCUGGGAAAAGGCUUUCCCACACUCCUUACACUCAUAGGGUUUCUCCCCUGUGUGUGUUUUCUGAUGUUCUGUGAGAUGUGGUUUCUGGUAGAAGGAUUUUUCACACUGAUUACAUUCAUAGGGUUUCUCUCCUGCAUG